AUUGAACGCUGGCGGCAUGCCUUACACAUGCAAGUCGAACGGCAGCACGGACUUCGGUCUGGUGGCGAGUGGCGAACGGGUGAGCAAUAUAUCGGAACGUACCUUUCAGUGGGGGAUAACUAUCCGAAAGGAUAGCUAAUACCGCAUAUUCUGUGAGCAGGAAAGCAGGGGAUCUUCGGACCUUGCGCUGAUUGAGCGGCCGAUAUCAGAUUAGCUAGUUGGUGGGGUAAAGGCCUACCAAGGCGACGAUCUGUAGCGGGUCUGAGAGGAUGAUCCGCCACACUGGAACUGAGACACGGUCCAGACUCCUACGGGAGGCAGCAGUGGGGAAUUUUGGACAAUGGGGGCAACCCUGAUUCAGCCAUGCCGCGUGAGUGAAGAAGGCCUUCGGGUUGUAAAGCUCUUUCGUCCGGGAAGAAAUCGCAUUGGUUAAUACCUGAUGUGGAUGACGGUACCGGAAUAAGAAGCACCGGCUAACUACGUGCCAGCAGCCGCCGUAAGAC
rnacentral:rRNA from 1 species